GUAGGGUGCGAGCGUUAAUCGGAAUUACUGGGCGUAAAGCGUGCGCAGGCGGUUCGUCGUGUCUGAUGUGAAAGCCCCGGGCUCAACCUGGGAAUGGCAUUGGAAACUGGCGGACUAGAGUGUGGCAGAGGGGGGUGGAAUUCCGCGUGUAGCAGUGAAAUGCGUAGAGAUGCGGAGGAACACCGAUGGCGAAGGCAGCCCCCUGGGCUAACACUGACGCUCAGGCACGAAAGCGUGGGGAGCAAACAGGAUUAGAUACCCUGGUAGUCCACGCCCUAAACCAUGUCAACUGGGUGUUCGGGAAGCGAUUCCUGAGUACCGUAGCUAACGCGUGAAGUUGACCGCCUGGGGAGUACGGCCGCAAGGUUA
rnacentral:rRNA from 1 species